UGCAGUCGAGGGGUAACAUGGNAGCUUGCUUCUGAUGACGACCGGCGNACNNNNNNGUAACGCGUACACAACCUACCUUCAAGAGGGGGAUAGCCUCGGGAAACUGAGAUUAAUACCCCAUAGUAUUAUCUUUAUCAUGUAUGGAUAAUUAAAGAUCCGUCGCUUGAAGAUGGGUGUGCGUAGGAUUAGAUAGUUGGUGAGGUAACGGCUCACCAAGUCGACGAUCCUUAGGGGGCGUGAGAGCGUGGCCCCCCACACGGGUACUGAGACACGGACCCGACUCCUACGGGAGGCAGCAGUAAGGAAUAUUGGACAAUGGGCGCAAGCCUGAUCCAGCCAUCCCGCGUGCAGGAUGACGGCCCUAUGGGUUGUAAACUGCUUUUAGAUAGGACGAAACUUUAGGAUUUAUCCUGAACUGACGGUACUAUCAGAAUAAGCACCGGCUAACUCCGUGCCAGCAGCCGCGGUAAUACGGAGGGNGCAAGCGUUAUCCGGAAUCACUGNGUUUAAAGGGNGCGUAGGCGGCGUUGUAAGUCANAUGUGAAAGCCCACCGCUUAACGGUGGAACUGCAUUUGAUACUGCAAUGCUNGNAU
rnacentral:rRNA from 1 species